UACGUAGGGGGCGAGCGUUGUCCGGAUUUAUUGGGCGUAAAGAGCUCGUAGGCGGCUGUUCGAGUCGGGUGUGAAAUCCUGAGGCUUAACCUUGGGUCUGCAUUCGAUACUGGGCGGCUUGAGUCUGGUAGGGGGAUCUGGAAUUCCUGGUGUAGCGGUGGAAUGCGCAGAUAUCUGGAGGAACACCGGUGGCGAAGGCGGCAUCCUGGACCGACACUGACGCUGAGGAGCGAAAGCCAGGGGAGCAAACGGG
rnacentral:rRNA from 1 species